UACGUAGGUGGCAAGCGUUGUCCGGAUUUAUUGGGCGUAAAGAGCUCGUAGGCGGUUCGGUAAGUUGGGUGUGAAACCUCCAGGCUCAACCUGGAGACGCCACCCGAUACUGCUGUGACUAGAGUCCGGUAGGGGAGCGUGGAAUUCCUGGUGUAGCGGUGAAAUGCGCAGAUAUCAGGAGGAACACCAGCGGCGAAGGCGGCGCUCUGGGCCGGAACUGACGCUGAGGAGCGAAAGCGUGGGUAGCAAACAGG
rnacentral:rRNA from 1 species